UACGAAAGGUGCGAGCGUUAAUCGGAAUUACUGGGCGUAAAGCGCGCGUAGGCGGUGUGUUAAGUCGGAUGUGAAAGCCCAGGGCUCAACCUUGGAAUUGCAUCCGAUACUGGCACGCUAGAGUGCAGUAGAGGGAGGUGGAAUUUCCGGUGUAGCGGUGAAAUGCGUAGAGAUCGGAAGGAACACCAGUGGCGAAGGCGGCCUCCUGGACUGACACUGACGCUGAGGUG
rnacentral:rRNA from 1 species